rnacentral:rRNA from 1 species
AUUGAACGCUGGCGGAAUGCUUUACACAUGCAAGUCGAACGGCAGCACGGACUUCGGUCUGGCGGCGAGUGGCGAACGGGUGAGUAAUGUAUCGGAACGUGCCCAGUCGUGGGGGAUAACGUAGUGAAAAUUACGCUAAUACCGCAUACGAUCUAUGGAUGAAAGCGGGGGAUCGCAAGACCUCGCGCGAUUGGAGCGGCCGAUAUCAGAUUAGGUAGUUGGUGGGGUAAAGGCCCACCAAGCCAACGAUCUGUAGCUGGUCUGAGAGGACGACCAGCCACACUGGAACUGAGACACGGUCCAGACUCCUACGGGAGGCAGCAGUGGGGAAUUUUGGACAAUGGGCGAAAGCCUGAUCCAGCCAUUCCGCGUGCAGGAUGAAGGCCCUCGGGUUGUAAACUGCUUUUGUACAGAACGAAAAGGUUUCAACUAAUACUAGGAGCUCAUGACGGUACUGUAAGAAUAAGCACCGACUAACUACGUGCCAGCCGCCGCAGUAA